CCCAGUUCGGACUGGAGUCUGCAACCCGACUCCACGAAGUUGGAUUCGCUAGUAAUCGCGCAUCAGCCAUGGCGCGGUGAAUACGUUCCCGGGCCUUGUACACACCGCCCGUCAAGCCAUGGGAGCCGGGGGCNCCUGAAGUCCGGGACCGCGAGGACCGGCCUAAGGCGAAACUGGUGACUGGGGCUAAGUCGUAACAAGGUAGC
rnacentral:rRNA from 1 species